rnacentral:tRNA from 1 species
GGUGGCUCAGUGGUUAAGCACUCAGCUGCUAACCGAGAGGUUGGUGGUUCAAACCCACCCAGCACCU